rnacentral:rRNA from 1 species
CCUACGGGUGGCAGCAGUGGGGAAUAUUGGGCAAUGGAGGAAACUCUGACCCAGCAAUGCCGCGUGAAUGAAGAAGGUCUUCGGAUUGUAAAGUUCUAUCAGCAGGGAAGAAAAUGACGGUACCUGACUAAGAAGCCCCGGCUAACUACGUGCCAGCAGCCGCGGUAAUACGUAGGGGGCAAGCAUUAUCCGGAUUUACUGGGUGUAAAGGGAGCGUAGACGGCAGCGCAAGUCUGGAGUGAAAUCCCAUGGCUUAACCAUAGAACUGCUUUGGAAACUGGGCAGCUGGAGUGCAGGAGAGGUAAGCGGAACUCCUAGUGUAGCGGUGAAAUGCGUAGAUAUUAGGAGGAACACCAGUGGCGAAGGCGGCUUACUGGACUGUAACUGACGUUGAGGCUCGAAAGCGUGGGGAGCAAACAGGAUUAGAUACCCUAGUAGUC